UUUAAACUUAGGGGACGAGCAAAAGGGAUUAGUGGUUGGUUWAUGUGUAGAUAGGGCAUGAGUGUGGCUCACAAUAAGUAAAAGGUGGAAUUGGGCUACUUUAAGCUAAGUUAACUUAAAAUCUAUUAUUGCAGAGGCCAAAAAGAGAGGGGGAUAAACUAGGAUUAGAUACCCUAUUAUACCUUCUUUUAAAUGAGUGCGCUUGUGUAUUAAUAGCUAUUUUCUUUAAAUACAUAGGAUUUGGCGGCGUUCUAGUCCUGUUAGAGGAACCUGUCACGUAAACGAUAUGCCACGAAAUAUCUUACUUGGUUAUGUUUUCAGCAUGUAUACCGUCAUUGUUAGAUAAUUCUUGUAGGAUGAAUUGUUGCAAACAAGUAAAAAUAUUUUAUAAGUAAAUUAGAUCUAGGUGCAGCCGAUAAUCAAGUGUUGGUGGGUUACAAUAAUAUGUAAUUAUUACGGACCUCGUAUUGGAAAAGCGAGUGAAGGAGGAUUUAAUUGUAAGGCUAAUUUAAUAUGUUAGCUUGGUAGAGGCUCUAGAUUGUGUACAUAUCGCCCGUCGCUUUCAUUCUAAGGUGAGAUAAG
rnacentral:rRNA from 1 species